rnacentral:sRNA from 1 species
GCCUCCCUAGUAGCUGGGAUAACAGUUCUGGGAUUACCGCCAGCCUCGGAAAUACCUCAAUAUUCUUCCUUGCCAGGUGCCUGUCUGGAAGGCCAGAUAUACACCUUUCAGCAAUGGAUUGGUGACCGUGAUGGUUCCCCAGCUGCGGAGGGAAAAUAGCCUUCUCCUCUGGAAUGUCUUUGACUUGAACACCCCAGUCCACACCUUCGUGGGGCAUGAUGAUGUGGUGCUGGAGUUCCAGUGGAGGAAGCAGAAGGAAGGGUCCAAGGACUAUCAACUGGUGACGUGGUCCCGGGAUCAGACCUUGAGAAUGUGGCGGGUGGAUUCCCAGAUGCAGAGGCUUUGUGCAAAUGACAUAUUAGAUGGUGUCGAUGAGUUCAUUGAGAGUAUUUCCCUUCUGCCGGAACCCGAGAAGACCCUGCACACUGAAGAUACAGAUCACCAGCACAAUGCAAGCCAUGGGGAGGAAGAAGCCCUAAAAGAAGAUCCCCCUAGAAAUCUCCUGGAAGAGAGGAAAUCAGAUCAACUGGGGCUGCCUCAGACCUUGCAGCAGGAAUUCUCCCUGAUCAAUGUGCAAAUCCGGAAUGUCAAUGUGGAGAUGGAUGCGGCAGACAGGAGCUGCACAGUGUCUGUGCACUGCAGCAACCAUCGCGUCAAGAUGCUGGUGAAGUUCCCUGCGCAGUACCCAAACAACGCCGCCCCUUCCUUCCAGUUUAUUAACCCCACAACCAUCACGUCUACCAUGAAAGCUAAGCUGCUAAAGAUCCUGAAGGACACGGCCCUGCAGAAAGUGAAGCGCGGCCAGAGCUGCCUGGAGCCCUGCCUGCGCCAGCUCGUCUCCUGCCUCGAGUCCUUUGUGGUGGGAAGCAUGAAACUGUCAUACCAACUUAGGCUUUGGUGUUUUGUUUCAUUUCUUUCUCCCUAAAAUCAUGGG